rnacentral:rRNA from 1 species
AGACGGGGGGGGCGAGCGUUGUUCGGAAUUACUGGGCGUAAAGGGCGCGCAGGCGGCUUGGGAAGUCUUGGGUGAAAGCCCCCAGCUCAACUGGGGAAUGGCCUGAGAAACCACUAGGCUGGAGUGCUGGAGAGGGAAGCGGAAUUCCCGGUGGAGCGGUGAAAUGCGUAGAUAUCGGGAGGAACACCAGAGGCGAAGGCGGCUUCCUGGACAGACACUGACGCUGAGGCGCGAAAGCUAGGGGAGCAAACGGGAUUAGAUACCCCAGUAGUCC